rnacentral:rRNA from 1 species
AUUGAACGCUGGCGGCAGGCCUAACACAUGCAAGUCGAACGAGUGGCGGACGGGUGAGUAAUGUCUGGGAAACUGCCUGAUGGAGGGGGAUAACUACUGGAAACGGUAGCUAAUACCGCAUACCAUCGGAUGUGCCCAGAUGGGAUUAGCUAGUAGGUGGGGUAAAGGCUCACCUAGGAGACGAUCCCUAGCUGGUCUGAGAGGAUGACAGUACACACGGGAACGGGGACACGGUCCAGACUCCUAUGGGAGGCAGCAGUGGGGAAUAUUGCACAAUGGGCGCAAGCCUGAUGCAGCCAUGCCGCGUGUAUGAAGAAGGCCUUCGGGUUGUAAAGUACUUUCAGCGGGGAGGCGUUACCCGAAGAAGAAGCACCGGCUAACUCCGUGCCAGCAGCCGCGGUAAUAC